rnacentral:lncRNA from 1 species
UUUUGUUGUGGAGGUUGUUCUAAGACCUGUAGAUUUCGGAUUCCAAAUAAUAAGAUUUAGUGCUUACAAGAUAAGUUUCAAGGUAUGGCAAUACUCUUAUCAACCACUUGUUCAUUAGUUUAGGGCCUUAGUGAAAUUAGGUAUUUUCCCACACUAUUCUUUUUACGACUAGAAGCCAAAUUGUGGAAAGUGGAAUCAUGGCUCAUG